GACGAGGGGUCCUAGCGUUGUUCGGAAUCACUGGGCGUAAAGCGCAUGUAGGCGGCUCUAUAAGUCAGGUGUGAAAGCCCUGGGCUCAACCCAGGAAGUGCAUUUGAUACUGUAGAGCUUGAAUAUGGGAGAGGGUAGUGGAAUUCCUGGUGUAGUGGUGAAAUACGUAGAUAUCAGGAGGAACACCGGUGGCGAAGGCGGCUACCUGGCCCAAUAUUGACGCUGAGAUGCGAAAGCGUGGGGAUCAAACAGG
rnacentral:rRNA from 1 species